UCAUCUCAGAGAGAAGGAAUGACUCAUCCAACAAACCACCGCACACCACUGAAUGAAGGAAGCUAGCGUUUGUUUAGCUAACAGCUAAUUCGGC